CCGGUCUUUCUGUGAAGUGCUCAGCGCGAGAUGGAGCUGUUACAGGCGGCAACUAGGCUGUUGAGUAGCAGAAAUGAGAACUAUUUCUGCCCUAUACGCCUUUUCCCCGUUUGGAUAGAGGCUUUUUUAGUAUCUCCUUUUGUAUACUGUGGAAAAUAGGUUUAAUUUUCUAUCCUAUUUUUUUAAAAUGUGAUUGCUCAUGAAGCGUGAGAGACCGCGUGUCUUGAACUACAUCUGUCUCAAAUCUGCUGCAGACCAAGGCUGCGGGUGGAGGCCCGGAGGGUGGACCCGGACUGCAUCGCCACAGGCGCGGAGGUCUGGAGGUCCAGGGCGCACGUGUGCAGGCCUGCGUUGCUCCUGGGGCGCUUGAGAGAAUUUUCUGGAGCGGAGCUCCUCUUGGAUGAGGUGGCCGAGCAGCUUGUGUGGGUCUGACCUGAUGCCCGCCCGGAGAGUCUGAGCUGUGACGGUGUGGAGCUGCUUGGAGAAAGCUGACCUCUGAAAUGCUACAUGUAAAUGUCUGUGGCUUAGUAAACUGUCACACAGAAGGCUGUGACAGUUACUGCUUCAUAAGGUUAGAAUUCUGGAUGUCACUUGUGCAACUGAACUAAAUAAAAACUUUAAGUACAAAUUAA